UACGGAGGGGGCUAGCGUUGUUCGGAAUUACUGGGCGUAAAGCGCACGUAGGCGGCUUUGUAAGUUAGAGGUGAAAGCCCGGGGCUCAACUCCGGAAUUGCCUUUAAGACUGCAUCGCUAGAAUUGUGGAGAGGUAAGUGGAAUUCCGAGUGUAGAGGUGAAAUUCGUAGAUAUUCGGAAGAACACCAGUGGCGAAGGCGACUUACUGGACACAUAUUGACGCUGAGGUGCGGAAGCGUGGGGAGCAAACAGG
rnacentral:rRNA from 1 species